UACAGAGGGGGCAAGCGUUGUUCGGAAUUACUGGGCGUAAAGGGCGCGUAGGUGGCCUUCUAAGUUGAACGUGAAAUCCCUGGGCUCAACCCAGGAACUGCGUCCAAGACUGGGAGGCUUGAAUCCGGGAGAGGGAUGCGGAAUUCCAGGUGUAGCGGUGAAAUGCGUAGAUAUCUGGAGGAACACCGGUGGCGAAGGCGGCAUCCUGGACCGGCACUGACGCUGAUGAGCGAAAGCCAGGGGAGCAAACGGG
rnacentral:rRNA from 1 species